rnacentral:rRNA from 1 species
AUACAUAUGUCCCAAGCGUUACCCGGAAUUAUUGGGUGUAAAGGGUCCGUAGGCGGAUUAUUAAGUUGAAUAUGAAAGACCGAGGCUCAACCUCGCGUUUGUAUUCAAAACUGGUAAUCUAGAAUUAGGGAGAGGUAAGCGGAAUUCUUAGUGUAGGGGUGCAAUCCGUAGAUACUAAGAAGAACACCAAAAGCGAAGGCAGCUUACUGGAACUAUAUUGACGCUGAGGGACGAAAGCGUGGGGAGCGAAGAGGAUUAGAUACCCCAGUAGUCC